rnacentral:rRNA from 1 species
CAAGUCGAACGAUGAAGGGAGCUUGCUCCCUGGAUUAGUGGCGAACGGGUGAGUAACACGUGAGUAACCUGCCCUUGACUCUGGGAUAAGCACUGGAAACGGUGUCUAAUACCGGAUACGAACUUCAGCCGCAUGGCUAGGAGUUGGAAAGAAUUUCGGUCAAGGAUGGACUCGCGGCCUAUCAGCUAGUUGGUGAGGUAAUGGCCCACCAAGGCGACGACGGGUAGCCGGCCUGAGAGGGUGACCGGCCACACUGGGACUGAGACACGGCCCAGACUCCUACGGGAGGCAGCAGUGGGGAAUAUUGCACAAUGGGCGCAAGCCUGAUGCAGCAACGCCGCGUGAGGGACGACGGCCUUCGGGUUGUAAACCUCUUUUAGUAGGGAAGAAGCGAAAGUGACGGUACCUGCAGAAAAAGCACCGGCUAACUACGUGCCAGCAGCCGCGGUAAUACGUAGGGUGCAAGCGUUAUCCGGAAUUAUUGGGCGUAAAGAGCUCGUAGGCGGUUUGUCGCGUCUGCUGUGAAAUCUGGGGGCUCAACCCCCAGCCUGCAGUGGGUACGGGCAGACUAGAGUGCGGUAGGGGAGAUUGGAAUUCCUGGUGUAGCGGUGGAAUGCGCAGAUAUCAGGAGGAACACCAAUGGCGAAGGCAGAUCUCUGGGCCGUAACUGACGCUGAGGAGCGAAAGCAUGGGGAGCGAACAGGAUUAG